UGCUGCGGUUAAAAAGCUCGUAGUUGGAUCUGCGUCUCAGGACCUGGUCCAUCCAUUGGAUGAGAACUGGGCUCCUAGGCUAAUAUUGCCAGUUUUCCAUACGUUACCUUGAUUGGUUGCGUAUGGUGGCUAGCAAGUUUACCUUGAAAAAAUUAGAGUGCUCAAUGCGGGCUAAUGCCUGAAUACUCGUGCAUGGAAUAAUGAAAUAGGAUCUCGGUUCUAUUUUGUUGGUUUUCUGAUCUGAGAUAAUGGUUAAGAGGGACGGACGGGGGCAUUCGUAUCGCUGCGUGAGAGGUGAAAUUCUUGGACCGUAGCGAGACGUCCGACUGCGAAAGCAUUUGCCAAGAAUGUCUUCAUUAAUCAAGAACGAAAGUCAGAGGUUCGAAGGCGAUCAGAUACCGCCCUAGUUCUGACCGUAAACGAUACCAACUAGCGUUCCGUCGGCGGUAAAUACGCCUUGACGGGCAGCUUCCCGGAAACGAAAGUUUUUCGGUUCCGGGGGAAGUAUGGUUGCAAAGCUGAAACUUAAAGAAAUUGACGGAAGGGCACCACCAGGAGUGGAGCCUGCGGCUUAAUUUGACUCAACACGGGAAAACUCACCUGGCCCGGACACCGUGAGGAUUGACAGAUUGAGAGCUCUUUCAUGAUUCGGUGGUUGGUGGUGCAUGGCCGUUCUUAGUUGGUGGAGUGAUUUGUCUGGUUUAUUCCGAUAACGAGCGAGACUCUAGCCUACUAAAUAGUUACUGGAUAAUUUUGUCCAGACAACUUCUUAGAGGGACAAGCGGUGUUUAGCCGCAUGAAGUUGAGCAAUAACAGGUCUGUGAUGCCCUUAGAUGUCCAGGGCUGCACGCGCGCUACACUGGAGGAAUCAGCGUGCUGUAACCAUUACCGAAAGGUAUUGGUAACCCCUUGAAAAUCCUCCGUGAUCGGGAUCGGGAAUUGCAAUUAUUUCCCUUGAACGAGGAAUUCCUAGUAAGUGUGAGUCAUCAGCUCACGUUGAUUACGUCCCUGCCCUUUGUACACACCGCCCGUCGCUGCCCGGGACUGAGCCGUUUCGAGAAAAGCGGAGACUGCUGUUUUGAUACCUUUCGAGGUGGAGAUUCUUUGGUGGAAACCGCU
rnacentral:rRNA from 1 species